rnacentral:rRNA from 1 species
ACUGAAUAGAUACCCCGGUAGUCCUGGCCCUAAACGAUGUCUACUAGAUCGUGGCGGCACUGACGCCGUCAUGGUCGAAAGCAAGAGUGUUAAGUAGACCGCCUGGGAAGUACGGUCGCAAGGCUAAAACUCAAAGAAAUUGACGGGGGCUCACACAGGCGGUGGAGCAUGUGGUUCAAUUCGAAGCAACGCGAAGAACCUUACCUGGGCUUGACAUGCUAGGAUUAUCUUGAUGAAAGUCGAGUAGGCCCCGCAAGGGGUACAACUAGUACAGGUGCUGCAUGGCUGUCGUCAGCUCGUGUCGUGAGAUGUCGGGUUAAGUCCCUUAACGAGCGAAACCUUUGCCCUUAGUUGCCAUCGGGUUAUGCCGGGUCACUCUAAGGGGACUGCCGGUGUCAAACCGGAGGAAGGUGGAGAUGACGUCAAGUCCUCAUGGCCUUUAUGCCCAGGGCUACACACGUGCUACAAUGGCGUCCACAAAGCGAGCCGAGAGCGCAAGCUGGAGGAAACUCGCAGAAA